UACAGAGGUCCCAAGCGUUGUUCGGAAUUACUGGGCGUAAAGCGUGCGCAGGCGGCUUUGCAAGACAGAUGUGAAAUCCCCGGGCUUAACCUGGGAACUGCAUUUGUGACUGCAUGGCUGGAGUGCGGCAGAGGGGGAUGGAAUUCCGCGUGUAGCAGUGAAAUGCGUAGAUAUGCGGAGGAACACCGAUGGCGAAGGCAAUCCCCUGGGCCUGCACUGACGCUCAUGCACGAAAGCGUGGGGAGCAAACAGG
rnacentral:rRNA from 1 species